UCUACACUCGUGGAAACAAAGAGAAAUAUUUCUCUCUCCUCACUCCGCUCUCCAUUUUUCCUUCGUUUCAAUAGAUCUUAGGUUUUCUUAGAUUUCUUUUAGAUGUUUUUUUCUUGUUUUCAAUCAUGCCUCUGGAACAUCGUUACAUCCGAAUAGACAAAAAAAAAUCUUUAGGAUUUCCUGUAGCUCAACUACUCCUUCUAAUGUCUCUUUUUCUGAUUUUUUUGCUCCUGGAUCUUCCCAUGGUUCUUUAUCUUUUAAUCUUUUAAUCUUGCUAAGCACCUGCAACAAGUUCUUUAUGAAGUUGCAAUAAAUGAAGAUGCAGAAUGAACACAUUGGAAGUUUUAAGAAACAAAUGUCUGGUUCAUGGUAAAUAAACUCUCAAACUCCAUGGGUUUUUAUCUCCAUAUUUUUCUCUCUCGUUCCAACCCUAAAUCCAAUCCAAUCUCUAUCUAUGUUCCCGCCGGUCCUGUUUUUGAAGGAUGGUUUCAUUUUGCUACUUAUCUAGAAAGUCUACUACUUUUCUCUGCUUCUAGGGGUAACCCUGCACUCAGAUUUCCUUCAUCAUCUAACCCCACUAAAUCUAAUCUUUCUUAUGUCCAAGUUCUUUCUAAAGGUGUUCAGAACCCAAAAAAAAUUAUCUUCCCCUAGAAACAAUCAAAAUAGUACAACUUGGUCAUCGCCCCUCCUAUGUGAUAGAUUUGCAGCUCCAUCUACUGCCUCUAUUCAUAAUUCUAAGCAAGUUGAAUUUAUUAAAAUUUCCCAUUCGGAUCAUAACCAUAUGGGGUUAUGGCAUGAUGCUUUUGUGAUAUCAGUACCAAAGACUGUGGAGUAUUGGUCUCCAAUUGGAUUAGCGUUAUGUCAUGAACUUCAAAUUGCCUCACCUUUUGAAAUCUUCCCAAUUAACUCCUCUCAGGCAAUCUUUCAUGCUGAUGAGAAUCUCUCUAAGGCUGGCCUGAACUUCAUUUUUUAGAUAGAAAAUGUUAAUUAUUCUGUUUUUAGAUGACACCCUAACGUUUGGUGUUCAUCAGAAAAUACGGUCACUACUGAUUUUAAGAUUGAAGCUAUAGGCAUUCUUUAUCAAUUAUGGUCAACUGAAGUUUUUCAUGGUAUUGCAAAAGUAUGUGGAGAAAUUCUAUGUAUUGAUCAUAUGACUUUAAGAUUAGCCAACCUAAGAGUGAUAAAUAUGAAGAUCAUAUGUACAUAAUAGAGGAAUUGAUUUCAUACCAAGGUCCAUAAAGAUUUUGACAAAGGCAGGCACUUACACUGCGUACAUCUCAGUUAACAGUGAUCAAAUCACUAAUGAUCAUAGUUUGAUUAUUCCUCCGGUGAGUCUGAGCUGUAACCAAUUCAAUCUUGUGAAGAGGGUGAUUGACAAACAAGAUUCUACGGGUAUCAAGCGAAAAAAAUGAGCUAAUUGAUUUACCUCUCAAAGGUGCAAGAUUCACUUGGUCUAAUGGCCAGUCCAACCCCGUCGUGUGUAGGCUUGAUAGGUACUGAUAACUGUGUGUUUUGGCUCAAACUUAAAGCUUUAAAUGAAAAGCUUAAAGAAUGGAAUAAGGUUACUUUUAGUCAUACUUCUGUGAAGCUUUAAAAUAUUCUUGUUGAUAUUCAAAUUCUUGAUAAUAAAGCUGAAGAGAAUCUAACUUGUGGAGGAGCAACUUGCUAAAAUAGUGAAACAUAAGGCUGAUUUUGAAAAAGUAACUCCAAUGGAAGAAACAUCAUGGAGAAUCAAAUCAAAAACAAGAUGGUUACAAUAAGGAGACAGAAAUACUUUUCACUUUAUGAGUACUGCUACUGCUAGGAGAAGAUACAACCGGAUUAGACAACUUUAUGUUGAUGGGGAUUUUACUUCUGAUAGAUUCAAGUUACAACAUCACAUUGUGGAUUUUUACAAGACUUUCUUCAUUGAAGAGCACAUUGUAAGACCAGCUCUGGAGGAGAUUAAAUUUGAUAAAAUAAGUUCAACUGAAGCUACUUUUCUUGAUGAAAUGUUUUCAGAGGAGGAAGUAUUUAAAGCAAUCAAAUAACUUGGUCAAGACAAAGCACCAUGCCCUGAUGGUUAUCCUAUUGUGUUCUUUUACAAGUGUUGGAGAUUCAUUAAGGUAGAUAUUAUGAAUACUGUCAAAAAAUUCUGUAUCCAUGGUAAGAUUGAUACAAAGCACAACUCUACUUUUAUCUCUUUAGUUCCAAAGAAAGAUUAUGUUGAAACUGUGAAAGAUUGUGGACCUAUUAAUUUGCUUAUUAACUAGUGUUUACAAGAUUAUUUCGAAGGUUCUAGCAAUAAGACUAAAGUUAGUCAUGAACAAGAUUAUCUCUCCAGUUCAAUGUGCUUAUAUGGAAGGAAGACAAAUUACUGAUGGAAUUUUGAUUGCAAAUGAACUUGUUGACUCUAGACUUGCUUUAUGUAAUCCAGGUAUGAUCUGCAAGAUUGAUUUAGAAAAAGCAUGUGAUAGAAUAAGCUGGAGUUAUUUAGAGAUGGUGUUACGAAAAAUGGGUUUGAGUGGUAAAUGGUGUAAUUUGAUGAAGUUUUGUUACUCUGGUGCUUCUUUUUCUGUUUUAAUUAAUGGUUCUUCUUUUGGAUAUUUCAAGAGUACAAGGGGGGUUAGGCAGGACGAUCCCAUAUCUCCAUUUUUAUUUAAUAUUGCAAUGGAGGGUUUUCUAGAUAUCUAGAUAGAGCAGCUAAUAUGGGUUUAUUCAGUGGAUUCUCUGUUUCUCAAAGUGCAAUUGUGGUAAAUCAUUUGCAUUAUGCAUAUGAUACCAUUUUUUUCCUAGACAACAACAAAAAAGAGCUUCAUAAUCUGUUUUCAGUCCUAAACUGUUUUGAACUAUUUGCAGGACUCAAGGUCAAUACCACUAAAACUAGACUUAUCUAUAUUGGCAAUGUACCUGAUUUAACUAGUUGGGCUUUGGAAUUGGGAUGUGCCACUGAUUUCAUUCCAUUCAUGUAUCUUGGUAUGCCUCUAGGUGCUAAUUCUAAUUCAAAGGCUUUAUGGGAUCCAAUUUUAGUUAAUUUUGAUACAAGACUCUCUUUCUGGAAUCAAAGGUCAGUGUCGAAGGGAGGAAAACAAGUACUUAUCAGAUGUAUUCUCUUUGCUCUUCCUCUUUAUUAUUUUUCUCUUUUCAAAGCACAUGCAUCUAUUAUUUGUCAGCUAGAGAGAAAAAUAAGAAACUUCCUUUGGGGAAAUAAAGUUGGUUCAAAGACCUCACAUCUUAUUAACUGGAAUACACAGUUCAUGCUGCUAAAGAUAUAGGAGGUUUGGGAGCCUUGGAUUUACGAUUGAUGACCUAGCUUUGUUAAAGAAUCAUUUGUGGUAUCAAAUAAUUGCUGCAAAAUAUGGCUUUAUCACUUCCAAUUGGUUCCCAGGUAAAGUGCAAAAUUUUGUUGGUAUUUCUUGUUGGAAAGCAAUUGCUGAAACAAGACGUUUGAUCAUUGUUAAUUUUACACUUGUUGUUUAUUCCGGUACUUGCAUUUCCUUUUGGCAUGACAAGUGGAUUGGUGUUAGCCCUUUGUCCGAGAGUUUUCCUGAAAUCUACAAGCUGGUACGGAACAAGUUUGCUUCUAUGUCUCAACUUAUUACUACUGAAGUUUCUUGGCACUUCGAUCUGAAAAGAAGACUCACAGAUGACGAAACUAAUCAUUUUGCUUAUAUGUUACAAGUUAUUGGAGACUUGCCUCCAAUUCUAGAUGGUUCAAAUGAUACAAGAAGAUGGUCUCUUUCUGUUGAUGAGGUUUUUUCUGUCAAGUCUUGUACAACAACCUAAACGCAAGUAAAUGAGUAAUGGAGUGAAUAAUUUCCCACAAUGGUUUAUUUGGAAAUCUAAUAUUCCUCCAAAGAUCAUUUUUUUCAUUUGGUGUGCAGUUCACGGAAAGCUCAACACUGCUGACUUACUUCUUAGGGAAGGUAUUUCUUGUCAAAAAAUUUGCAGUCUCUGUGGUAAUGUUGAUGAAACUUCAGACCAUCUUUUGCUUCAUUGUAAGGUUGCUUACAAAGUCUGGGGAUGCUUACGCCAUCUUUCUGGGCCUGGUCGUUCCCAAGAUCAACGUAUGAUCUUGCUCAUUACUGGCAUUUUAGUAUUCUUUCAUCCGCUGGAAAGAAAAUUUGACCCCUAAUUCCAGUUGUUGUAUGUUGGGUACUGUGGAAUAAAAGAAACGCCAAAUUAUUUGAAGGGAAACACUACUUGAAGAUUGAUAUUGAUUUGGGUUUAGAAGCUAGGUCUUUGGUCUUAGCUUGGGUUGUUGCUUCAGGCAACAGAGUUCACUUAAACUUUGCCGGAACUGUGAAAUACUUUUUAGUUUUCUCUUUUUCUCUUUUUGGUCAUCCCUGGUAGCUCUUGGACAUUCUUUUAGUCUAUUAAUUUCUCCUCUUUCAAUAAUAAUAAAAAAAAAGUUUUCAACUUCUUUAAAAA